CCAGACUCCUACGGGAGGCAGCAGUGAGGAAUAUUGGUCAAUGGGCGGGAGCCUGAACCAGCCAAGCCGCGUGAGGGAAGAAGGUACAGCGUAUCGUAAACCUCUUUUGUCAGGGAACAAAGGCGGGGACUAGUCCCCGGAUGAGGGUACCUGAAGAAAAAGCAUCGGCUAACUCCGUGCCAGCAGCCGCGGUAAUACGGAGGAUGCGAGCGUUAUCCGGAUUUAUUGGGUUUAAAGGGUGCGUAGGCGGGAUGCCAAGUCCGGGGUCAAAUGCGGGGGCCCAACCUGCGUCCGCCGUUGAAACUGGCGUUCUUGAGUGGGCGAGAAGUACGCGGAAUGCGUGGUGUAGCGGUGAAAUGCAUAGAUAUCACGCAGAACUCCGAUUGCGAAGGCAGCGUACCGGCGCCCAACUGACGCUCAUGCACGAAAGCGUGGGUAUCGAACAGGAUUAGAUACCCUGGUACA
rnacentral:rRNA from 1 species